UACGUAGGUGGCAAGCGUUAUCCGGAUUUACUGGGUGUAAAGGGCGUGUAGCCGGGAAGGCAAGUCAGAUGUGAAAUCCGGAGGCUCAACCUCCGAAUUGCAUUUGAAACUGUUUUUCUUGAGUACUGGAGAGGCAGACGGAAUUCCUAGUGUAGCGGUGAAAUGCGUAGAUAUUAGGAGGAACACCAGUGGCGAAGGCGGUCUGCUGGACAGCAACUGACGCUGAGGCGCGAAAGCGUGGGGAGCAAACAGG
rnacentral:rRNA from 1 species